CCUCUCCUCUCACUAGACAGCAGUUUUUCAUUCUGAACUUAGUGAGCGAGCAGAAGCCGAGACAGGAGGACUUUCAGACGCGGGACACACUGCCUGACUGCGCACAAGCCCAGAGUCUCCCUACACCUACUGGAAGCAGACGUCUUCUAUCUGGAUGAUUACCUGACUGUCAAGACUGGGGAGGAGAUCUUUGGCACCAUCAGCAUGAAGCCAAUCGUCAAGAACAAUAGAGACCUGGACUUAACCAUACACAUCGACUUCAAGGGUCAGCUGUGUGAGAUGUUGAAGACGUCAGAGUAUAGGAUUGACUGGGAGUCUGUACCAUAGUUUGACGCUCCCCUGCAGCAACAUAAAGACUGUCUCUGUCCUCUCAGCGCUGAGACUGACUGACUGAUUGUUACUUU